rnacentral:rRNA from 1 species
AUGAACGCUGGCGGCGUGCCUAAUACAUGCAAGUCGCGCGAACGGACGAGAAGCUUGCUUCUCUGAUGUUAGCGGCGGACGGGUGAGUAACACGUGGAUAACCUACCUAUAAGACUGGGAUAACUUCGGGAAACCGUAGCUAAUACCGGAUAAUAUUUUGAACCGCAUGGUUCAAAAGUGAAAGACGGUCUUGCUGUCACUUAUAGAUGGAUCCGCGCUGCAUUAGCUAGUUGGUAAGGUAACGGCUUACCAAGGCAACGUUGCAUAGCCGACCUGAGAGGGUGAUCGGCCACACUGGAACUGAGACACGGUCCAGACUCCUACGGGAGGCAGCAGUAGGGAAUCUUCCGCAAUGGGCGAAAGCCUGACGGAGCAACGCCGCGUGAGUGAUGAAGGUCUUCGGAUCGUAAAACUCUGUUAUUAGGGAAGAACAUAUGUGUAAGUAACUGUGCACAUCUUGACGGUACCUAAUCAGAAAGCCACGGCUAACUACGUG